GUGCCAGCAGCCGCGGUAAUACGUAGGUCCCGAGCGUUGUCCGGAUUUAUUGGGCGUAAAGCGAGCGCAGGCGGUUAGAUAAGUCUGAAGUUAAAGGCUGUGGCUUAACCAUAGUACGCUUUGGAAACUGUUUAACUUGAGUGCAAGAGGGGAGAGUGGAAUUCCAUGUGUAGCGGUGAAAUGCGUAGAUAUAUGGAGGAACACCGGUGGCGAAAGCGGCUCUCUGGCUUGUAACUGACGCUGAGGCUCGAAAGCGUGGGGAGCAAACAGGAUUAGAUAC
rnacentral:rRNA from 1 species